ACGCUUUUUCUUUCACCGGAGCUUGCUCCCCGAAAGAAAAAGAGUGGCGAACGGGUGAGUAACACGUGGGUAACCUGCCCAUCAGAAGGGGAUAACACUUGGAAACAGGUGCUAAUACCGUAUAACACUAUUUUCCGCAUGGAAGAAAGUUGAAAGGCGCUUUUGCGUCACUGAUGGAUGGACCCGCGGUGCAUUAGCUAGUUGGUGAGGUAACGGCUCACCAAGGCAACGAUGCAUAGCCGACCUGAGAGGGUGAUCGGCCACACUGGGACUGAGACACGGCCCAGACUCCUACGGGAGGCAGCAGUAGGGAAUCUUCGGCAAUGGACGAAAGUCUGACCGAGCAACGCCGCGUGAGUGAAGAAGGUUUUCGGAUCGUAAAACUCUGUUGUUAGAGAAGAACAAGGAUGAGAGUAAAAUGUUCAUCCCUUGACGGUAUCUAACCAGAAAGCCACGGCUAACUACGUGCCAGCAGCCGCGGUAAUACGUAGGUGGCAAGCGUUGUCCGGAUUUAUUGGGCGUAAAGCGAGCGCAGGCGGUUUCUUAAGUCUGAUGUGAAAGCCCCCGGCUCAACCGGGGAGGGUCAUUGGAAACUGGGAGACUUGAGUGCAGAAGAGGAGAGUGGAAUUCCAUGUGUAGCGGUGAAAUGCGUAGAUAUAUGGAGGAACACCAGUGGCGAAGGCGGCUCUCUGGUCUGUAACUGACGCUGAGGCUCGAAAGCGUGGGGAGCGAACAGGAUUAGAUACCCUGGU
rnacentral:rRNA from 1 species